UUGAAGAAUAAAAGGUGCAGAUCAUUUGUUUUCAGCACUGACUGUUUUCUGUGACACUUGAUGACUAACAGGAAGUCCAGCACAGAGUUCAUACUUCAGCACUAACAAUUGAUGCACUAUGUACAAGGUCUGCCAUUUUUUCUUGUCAGCUAAGAAAAAAAAAAUUACAAGUCUUAUUUCAAUUCUGGGAAUCUUGUAGCACUCCUACAUAUUUUAUUUUCAAAUUGUUUACAUAAGCUCCACUUAUGCUACAUGAAUCAAAAUUCAUUUGGGGUAAUUGUUUAAAAAAAAAACACUGUCUGUGCAAGUUUUAGUUGUUUGACCAUCUAAAGGAUGGACUAGGACUAGUUAGAAAUUCUAGAACAGUGCUCAUGUGAAGCACCCCAAAACAGCAAUUACCAAAUUCUGUCAUUAUUUCCAGCUCUGUUUACAAGAAUAGCCAUUAAAAUACUCCCAAUCUUUAAUAAAACUGCUUAGAUAAUAACAGAGUAGAAUGUGCUGGCUGUUUUCCCUGUAUGUUCAGAGAAAAGUGUUUUUAUUUAAACUGCAAAUGCUACUAAAAAAGUCUACUUAAUGCAAUAGAAAUUAAUAUUUAAGAAAUACUGUCAAUCAGAAGUCUGAACUUUCACCCAAAGAUGUACUGAGAUCAUUAAGUCUGAACAAAUGUAUGCCUUGAAUAAUUUGGUAAUAAUAGGGCAGUCUGUACCAUUUCUGUAGAACAGUAUUCUUUUCAGUAUCACACAGAGGUGUGCAUUGGAAGAAUGAUGUAGAUUUAACUGAGGACAAAGACUACAUAAUACUAUCAUUUAGAAAACCAGUAACCUUUGGUUGCCUAAUAUUUUCGGUCUUCUUUUACUUUAACCUCAAGAGUCUCUUGAAAACACAGCACAAAAGCUUUCAAAACUGCUAGCAGUCAUUUCCAUAUGGCUCAAUCUACAACAUCAGUUUACUCUGCCUCUUUACCUGACAUCUCCACUCUAUUCAGGGUUCAUCAAACACAGACACUCUUCUGAUUAAUGGCUAAUUUAUUAUUUGCCUUGCAAAUGUUUAUCUGCAGGGAGAUGAAGUAAAUAUACUUCAGCUCUGACAAGCACCAUGGCCACUCUCGCCCUGCCUGACAGAACGGUCAGUCGAUGCUGUCCCUGAGGAGCCAUGCCCUGCCUUAGGUUUCCCAGACAGUCCUCUGAAAAGCUGGAGAACCACUGCUUACAAAUAAAGGUAUGAAAAAGCUUGUA